CUACGGGGUGCUGCAGUGAGGAAUAUUGCACAAUGGGGGGAACCCUGAUGCAGCAACGCCGCGUGGAGGAUGACGCAUUUCGGUGUGUAAACUCCUUUUAUAUGUCAAGAAAAUGACGGUAGCAUAUGAAUAAGCACCGGCUAACUCGCGUGCCAGCAGCCGCGGUAAUACGGAGGGUGCAAGCGUUACUCGGAAUCACUGGGCGUAAAGGACGCGUAGGCGGGCUGGAAAGUCAGGUGUGAAAUCCUACAGCUUAACUGUAGAACUGCACUUGAAACUUCUAAUCUAGAGUAUGGGAGGGGGGGAUGGAAUUAGUGGUGUAGGGGUAAAAUCCGUAGAUAUCACUAGGAAUACCUAAAGCGAAGGCGAUCUCCUGGAACAUUACUGACGCUAAGGCGUGAAAGCGUGGGGAGCAAACAGGAUUAGAUACCCCAGUAGUC
rnacentral:rRNA from 1 species